UGGGGGAUAUUGCACAAUGGAGGAAACUCUGAUGCAGCGACGCCGCGUGAGGGAAGAAGGUCUUCGGAUUGUAAACCUCUGUCUUUGGGGACGAAGAAAGUGACGGUACCCAAAGAGGAAGCCACGGCUAACUACGUGCCAGCAGCCGCGGUAAUACGUAGGUGGCGAGCGUUGUCCGGAAUUACUGGGUGUAAAGGGUGCGUAGGCGGUCUGGUUAGUUGGAUGUGAAAGCUCCCGGCUUAACUGGGAGAGGUCGUUCAAUACUGCCAGACGAGAGAGUGGUAGAGGGAGAUGGAAUUCCGGGUGUAGUGGUGAAAUGCGUAGAUAUCCGGAGGAACACCAGUGGCGAAAGCGAUCUCCUGGACCAUUUCUGACGCUCAGACGCGAAAGCUAGGGUAGCAAA
rnacentral:rRNA from 1 species